GCUGCCUCGCUAAACGAUGCACACCUGUAACUCACGUGACCCUGAUUAUUAUUGAAAUGAGAACGAGGGCAUGGCUUCAUUUGCAAAGGUGGUUGUGUGUGUCCUCAUUGCUUGUGUCUGUAAUGCAUUCUGUUUUCCGAAGAGAGAUGUGAACUUUAAGGCCUCUGCAGUUGACCGCCAAAGUGAUGAUGUGGUUGUCACCACAACACCCGUUCCCCACAACCAGACCACAUCUGCCCAUACUGAAGCUGGUAGUGGUGCAAGUGAAGAUGCUGUGGCUACAACCCCAGCACCUAAUCCACACAACCAGACAACUUCUGAAGUUACUGAUGGAGCCAGUGAAGAUGCUGUGGACCGCCAAAGUGAUGAUGUGGUUGUCGCCACAACACCCGAUCCCCACAACCAGACACAACAAUCAAUCCAGACACAACAAUCUGUCCAUACUGAAGCUGGUGGUGGUGCAAGUGAAGAUGCUGUGGCUACUACCCCAGCACCUAAUCCACACAACCAGACAACUUCUGCACAAGCUGAAGUUACUGAUGGAGCAAGUGAAGAUGCUCUGGAUACCACCCCAACACCAAAUCCCCCAACUACAUCUGACCACACUGCAGCUACCGAUGAUGCAAGUGAGGGUGCUGUGGCUGCCCAAACUGGAACUACUUUAUCCCAUAUGACUGAUGUCUGAUUCGACUGCUCCUCUGGUCACAAUGACCUGAGUCACUGUCUGGACUUUUUGCCUCUACAUGUUGACUGCAAUAAAGGACAGAUUUAUUUUCA
rnacentral:lncRNA from 1 species